CCUACGGGUGGCUGCAGUGGGGAAUAUUGGACAAUGGGGGGAACCCUGAUCCAGCCAUGCCGCGUGUGUGAAGAAGGCCCUCGGGUUGUAAAGCACUUUCAGUGAGGAAGAACGCCUGGUGGUUAAUACCCAUCAGGAAAGACAUCACUCACAGAAGAAGCACCGGCUAACUCCGUGCCAGCAGCCGCGGUAAUACGGAGGGUGCGAGCGUUAAUCGGAAUUACUGGGCGUAAAGCGCGCGUAGGUGGCUUGAUAAGCCGGUUGUGAAAGCCCCGGGCUCAACCUGGGAACGGCAUCCGGAACUGUCAAGCUAGAGUGCAGGAGAGGAAGGUAGAAUUCCCGGUGUAGCGGUGAAAUGCGUAGAGAUCGGGAGGAACACCAGUGGCGAAGGCGGCCUUCUGGACUGACACUGACACUGAGGUGCGAAAGCGUGGGUAGCAAACAGGAUUAGAUACCCCAGUAGUC
rnacentral:rRNA from 1 species